CAAAUACUCCCUCCGUCCAGAAAUACUUGUCAUCAAAAUGGAUAAAAGGAAAUGUAUCUAGACGUAUUUUAGUUUUAGAUACAUCUCUUUUUAUCCAUGUUGAUGACAAGUAUUUUCGGACGGAGGGAGUAGAAA
rnacentral:pre_miRNA from 1 species